AGAACGAACGCUGGCGGCGUGCCUAACACAUGCAAGUCGAGCGCGAAUGGAGCAAUCCUAGUAGAGCGGCGCACGGGUGCGUAACACGUGGGUAAUCUGCCUAGAAGCCUGGGAUAACCAGUCGAAAGAUUGGCUAAUACCGGAUAAGCUCCCGGGGACUUCGGUCCUUGAGAGAAAAGGUGGCCUCUGUAUACAAGCUAUCUCUUCUAGAUGAGCCCGCGGCCCAUCAGCUAGUUGGCGGGGUAAUGGCCCACCAAGGCAACGACGGGUAGCUGGUCUGAGAGGACGAUCAGCCACACUGGAACUGAGACACGGUCCAGACUCCUACGGGAGGCAGCAGUGGGGAAUUUUGCGCAAUGGGCGAAAGCCUGACGCAGCAACGCCGCGUGUGUGAUGAAGGUCUUCGGAUUGUAAAGCACUUUCGACCGGACGAAAACCCUGAGGCUAACGAUCCUCAGCUUGACGGUACCGGAGAAGAAGCACCGGCU
rnacentral:rRNA from 1 species